rnacentral:rRNA from 1 species
CCUNACCUACCCUUUGACAUGCCACUUAAACGAAGCCAGAGAAUNNAAUUAGGUUGNNCGAAAGAAGAAAAGUGGACACAGNUGCUGCAUGGCCUGUCGUCAGCUCGUNNCNNGANAUGUUGGGUUAAGUCCCGCAACGAGCGCAACCCUUGUCUCUAGUUGCUACGAAAGGGCACUCUANAGAGACUGCCGGUGACAAACCGGAGGAAGGUGGGGAUGACGUCAAGUCCUCAUGGCCCUUAUGGGUAGGGCUUCACACGUCAUACAAUGGUGCAUACAGAGGGUUGCCAAGCCGCGAGGUGGAGCUAAUCCCAGAAAAUNCAUCGUAGUCCGGAUCGUANNCUGCAACUCGACUACGUNAAGCUGGAAUCGCUAGUAAUCGCGGAUCAGCAUGCCGCGGUGAAUACGUNCCCGGGUCUUGUACCACACCGCCCGUCACACCAUGGGAGUGGGCCUUUACCAGAANUAGUUNGCCUNACCGCAAAGGAGGGCGA